AUUGAACGCUGGCGGCAUGCCUUACACAUGCAAGUCGAGCGCGAAAGGGGGCAACCCCGAGUAGAGCGGCGGACGGGUGAGUAACACAUCGGAACGUGCCCAGUAGUGGGGGACAACCUCGAGAAAUCGAGGCUAAUACCGCAUACGACCCACGGGUGAAAGCGGGGGACCCAAAGGAAACUGAGGGCCUCGCGCUAUUGGAGCGGCCGAUGUCCGAUUGGCUAGUUGGCGGGGUAAGAGCCCACCAAGGCGACGAUCGGUAGCUGGUCUGAGAGGACGACCAGCCACACUGGGACUGAGACACGGCCCAGACUCCUACGGGAGGCAGCAGUGGGGAAUUUUGGACAAUGGGGGCAACCCUGAUCCAGCCAUGCCGCGUGCGGGAAGAAGGCC
rnacentral:rRNA from 1 species